CUGGUGGGGUCAGGAGGCCAUCUGAUUCCUGGGCCUCCCCUCAAGACAAAGGGCCUCCUAGGAACCCAUGACUCUGGUCAUUGUAUUCAACGGAGAGAGUCGAGGCCCCUCCCUAAGCUUAUGGUUUUUGCCUUUAAAAAUUCCUGUGCCUGGGGGACGGGGCUGCUCUCUAGUCUGCAUGCUGAGAGAGCCCGUUUGUACAAACGUCCACCUUUCAUUAAAGCCUCUUGCUGUUUGCAUCAAGUUUCCACCUCUGAAAAGUGAUUGGGGUAGCUGCAGUGCUGGGAAAAGAUUCUGGAGGCCUGAGCUUCUGGAGGGUCUUAAUUUGGGGGCUUGUCUGGGAUUUUCGACCACCCCUCACCUUAAAUGAUCUUGGAGAGAAUGACUUGGGACAGAAUCUACCAGGACAGACCCCUUCCCUUUGAAAAACAGAGACUUUCCUGCUGCAGUGGCUCCAGGUAGGAAGUUACAGCCUGGCAGAGGAUAGUACAUUCUGGCUCCUUGCAGCCAAGACAUACUUUGCCUAAGAGCAGCCUGCACUGCCAGCCUCCAGGUGGCCUAGGAGUGGUCACCAUGGCUUCUUGGGAGAGGCAAAAGCCUGCUAAAGGCAGGCAUUCAGAGCGGGCCAAUGGGG
rnacentral:lncRNA from 1 species